rnacentral:rRNA from 1 species
GACGAACGCUGGCGGCGUGCUUAACACAUGCAAGUCGAACGAAGUGGCGAACGGGUGAGUAAUACGUGGGUAACCUGCCCUCCUUUUUGGGAUAUGCCUUGGAAACGGAGUCUAAUACCGAAUUAGGGGGAUGGGCUCGCGGCCUAUCAGCUUGUUGGUGGGGUGAUGGCCUACCAAGGCGGUGACGGGUAGCCGGCCUGAGAGGGGGAACGGCCAAAAUGGGACUGGGAGACGGCCCAGACUCCUACGGGAGGCAGCAGUAGGGAAUCUUCGGCAAUGGACGAAAGUCUGACCGAGCAACGCCGCGUGAGUGAUGACGGCCUUCGGGUUGGAAAGCUCUGUUAAGCGGGACGCGGUACCGGAAUAGAAAGCCACGGCUAACUACGUGCCAGCAGCCGCGGUAAUUC